rnacentral:lncRNA from 7 species
GCAGCGUCCUGCCAGGGCGCGCGUGCGGUUGCGGCGACAUGAAUAGUUACGCCAAGGCAAGACAGAAGCAGCAGGGGAAGAACCGAAGAAGCAUUGCGGCAUGGACAGCUAGGAAUCGCAGCCGCGCGGAGAUCGACCAGGGUAGAUGGACAGGCUCGACCGGGCGGGAAGAACAGAAGAAGACACCCAGCCGACGACAGCGGCUGCGAUGACGCAUCGGCCAUCGCCGGCAACGUACGUGGGCUCGGGCUUAAGAUUCUUCCUGUAGAUCUGUCUCGGUUUGCAGCCCAUAUCGCAUUGAUGGAUCAUUUCAUUCAAUUCAAAUCCGUUCAGGAACUAUCCCUGUUUGCGGAUCAUCUCUGAUCUUAUCCGGUUGCCGCAUGCCUCAGUCGCAGGACGGACUUAGCUAGUUAUGGACACAUGAUCGAUCCAUCCAUGAUCCGUGUACCAGGUGCAUAUGAGCCUUUAGUCCGCCAUGAAUCAAAAAAAUUAAAAAUAUAUUCUAAAAAAUA